rnacentral:rRNA from 1 species
AAUCAACGCUGGCGGCGUGCCUCAGACAUGCAAGUCGAACGAUUAAAGCUCUCUUCGGAGAGUGCAUAAAGUGGCGCACGGGUGAGUAACACGUAAGUAAUCUACCUCUGAGUGGGGAAUAACGUCCGGAAACGGACGCUAAUACCGCAUAAUGCAGCGGCAUCAUAAGAUGACAGUUGUUAAAGAUUUAUCGCUUAGAGAGGAGCUUGCGGCAGAUUAGCUAGUUGGUAAGGUAACGGCUUACCAAGGCUACGAUCUGUAACCGGUCUUAGAGGACGGUCGGUCACACUGACACUGAAUAACGGGUCAGACUCCUACGGGAGGCAGCAGUCGGGAAUUUUGGGCAAUGGGCGAAAGCCUGACCCAGCAACGCCGCGUGAAGGAUGAAGUAUUUCGGUAUGUAAACUUCGAAAGAAUAGGAAGAAUUAAUGACGGUACUAUUUAUAAGGUCCGGCUAACUACGUGCCAGCAGCCGCGGUAAU